UACGAAGGGGGCUAGCGUUGUUCGGAAUUACUGGGCGUAAAGAGCGCGUAGGCGGCACUGUACGACCGCUGUGAAAGCCCCCGGCUCAACUGGGGAGGGUCAGUGGUAACGGCAGAGCUCUGAGUGCAGGAGAGGGAAGUGGAACUCCGGGAGUAGCGGUGAAAUGCGUAGAGACCCGGAGGAACACCAGUGGCGAAGGCGGCUUCCUGGUCUGCGACUGACGCUGUGGCGCGAAAGCUAGGGGAGCGAACGGG
rnacentral:rRNA from 1 species